rnacentral:rRNA from 1 species
GACGAACGCUGGCGGCGUGCCUAAUACAUGCAAGUAGAACGCUGAAGAGAGGAGCUUGCUCUUCUUGGAUGAGUUGCGAACGGGUGAGUAACGCGUAGGUAACCUGCCUUGUAGCGGGGGAUAACUAUUGGAAACGAUAGCUAAUACCGCAUAACAAUGGAUGACCCAUGUCAUUUAUUUGAAAGGGGCAAAUGCUCCACUACAAGAUGGACCUGCGUUGUAUUAGCUAGUAGGUGAGGUAACGGCUCACCUAGGCGACGAUACAUAGCCGACCUGAGAGGGUGAUCGGCCACACUGGGACUGAGACACGGCCCAGACUCCUACGGGAGGCAGCAGUAGGGGAUCUUCGGCAAUGGGGGCAACCCUGACCGAGCAACGCCGCGUGAGUGAAGAAGGUUUUCGGAUCGUAAAGCUCUGUUGUAAGUCAAGAACGAGUGUGAGAGUGGAAAGUUCACACUGUGACGGUAGCUUACCAGAAAGGGACGGCUAACUACGUG